UACGUAGGGUGCGAGCGUUAAUCGGAAUUACUGGGCGUAAAGCGUGCGCAGGCGGUUCGUUAAGUCAGCUGUGAAAGCCCCCGAGCUUAACUUGGGAAUUGCGGUUGAAACUGGCGGACUAGAAUCUGGCAGAGGGGGGUGGAAUUCCACGUGUAGCAGUGAAAUGCGUAGAUAUCAGGAGGAACACCGGUGGUGUAGACGGCUUACUGGACCAUAACUGACGCUGAGACACGAAAGCGUGGGUAGCAAACAGG
rnacentral:rRNA from 1 species